UUGACCUCGGAUCAGGUAGGAAUACCCGCUGAACUUAAGCAUAUCAAUAAGCGGAGGAAAAGAAACCAACAGGGAUUACCCUAGUAACGGCGAGUGAAGCGGUAACAGCUCAAAUUUAAAAUCUGGCUCUCGGGCCCGAGUUGUAAUUUGUAGAGGAUGUUUCGGGCAAGGUCUAGGUUUAAAUUUCUUGGAACAGAAUGUCAUAGAGGGUGAGAGUCCCGUCUUGAACCGCUGACUGCGUCCAUGUGAAACUCCUUCGACGAGUCGAGUUGUUUGGGAAUGCAGCUCAAAAUGGGUGGUAAAUUUCAUCUAAAGCUAAAUAUUGGCCAGAGACCGAUAGCGCACAAGUAGAGUGAUCGAAAGAUGAAAAGCACUUUGAAAAGAGAGUUAAACAGUAUGUGAAAUUGUUGAAAGGGAAGCGCUUGUGACCAGACUUGAGUCUGACGGUUCCCCCGGUCUUUUGACCCGGUUACUCCGUCUUAACCAGGCCAGCAUCGGUUUGGGUGGUUGGUUAAAGGUCUUGGGAAUGUAUCUACCUCCGGGUCGACUUAUAGCCCAGGACGUAUAUGCGGCCUACCUGG
rnacentral:rRNA from 1 species